GACUGCAGAGCGUGGGCAUAAGCUGGCAGAGGGAAGAAAAAAAAACCAAAACAAAAAGCAGAAGGCAUCAGUCACAAAUCUAACCGCAGCAUCUCAACUGAGCCGACAUCAACAGGAAACCUUAGACGCGCUGACAGGUUAAUACAUGACAAGAAAGAAAAAAGCCCCAAAACAGCCUUCAACACCUUUGUUGCGAAAGCCCGGAGAGUAAUGUAUUACAGAAGACUGGUGUCUGGGUGCGAGUCCCAGAAGCUGUCGCCACAGCAACAGAGGGGGGGAAGCUCCACCUUCUCCAGCACCAUCCUCCGCUCCAUCUGCACCCGCAGAGCCUCGAUGAACCUGAGCCCAGGACAGUCCCCUCAGAGGAGGAAGUGAGAACUACGUCAGCUGGCUGCACGUCACCUUGCAAUCCUCUUCAGAUGUUUCCUGUGACGGCAAAGCUCCUUCACCUGCUCUCGCUCAAUGUCCAUGAAGAGACGCCGAUACAUCAGGAACUGAGAAUGUCGCUACGAAAGGGACCGGACGACAAAAGGACAACUUCUAACACCGAGACGCUUUACCCAGCAUCAAAACUACUGAAAGACUGUGCCUCGAUAUAGAGUGGAUAUUUCAUUUUUAGGUACAUUGUCCAAAAAAACAGUCUGAUGUGAUGCAUUAUCCUAACAUUCAUAACUUACACUAUUUUUCAAUGCUUUGU